CUGAUUUGAAAUUUAAGUCGGGGUUUUUUUGCCAAAUAACUAUGAUCUAGGUAGAAUAUAAGCCUUUAGCUUCAAGUUGAGUAUGGACAAAUCCACCAUUUGAGUGGAGUAGGAUUGGGAGAGUCUAUGAAAGUGCAAACAUUGCUACAUAAUCAAGAAUAGAACAAUAAUAUAGUAGGAAAUAAGAAUUGCUCUGAGUUUGCUUCUGGAUUUUUCUCACGAGAAGAAAUUUUAAUGACAAAACAUUUUUUAGGGUGGGGAGUUGUUACACCUGAUUUUCGAUAAGUCCAAAUUUUGGAAGGGCUUG
rnacentral:lncRNA from 1 species